rnacentral:rRNA from 1 species
GGCAAUGGCGGCAUGCCUAUACAUGCAGUCGAGCGGACUUGAAGGAGUGCUUGCACUCCUGAGAGUUAGCGGCGGACGGGUGAGUAACACGUAGGCAACCUGCCCUCAAGACUGGGAUAACUACCGGAAACGGUAGCUAAUACCGGAUAAUUUAUUACAUAGCAUUAUGUGAUAAUGAAAGACGGAGCAAUCUGUCACUUGGGGAUGGGCCUGCGGCGCAUUAGCUAGUUGGUGGGGUAACGGCCCACCAAGGCGACGAUGCGUAGCCGACCUGAGAGGGUGAACGGCCACACUGGGACUGAGACACGGCCCAGACUCCUACGGGAGGCAGCAGUAGGGAAUCUUCCGCAAUGGGCGAAAGCCUGACGGAGCAACGCCGCGUGAGUGAUGAAGGUUUUCG